rnacentral:rRNA from 1 species
GAUGAACGCUGGCGGCGUGCUUAACACAUGCAAGUCGCGCGACCGCGUGAGAAGCUCUCUCCUCUGCUGUUAGCGGCGGACGGGCGAGUAACAAGCGCGUAACCAACCUACACGUCUGCGCGAACUUACGGGAACCGGAGCUAAUACCGGCUGUUUGUUUUAAAUUCACGGUUUAAGAGUGAAAGAAGGUCUUGCUGUCACUUAUAGAUGGAUCCGCGCUGCUUUAGCUAGUUGGUAAGUUAACGGCUUACCAAGGCAACGAUGCAUAGCCGACCUGAGAGGGUGAUCAGCCACACUGGAACUGAGACGCGGUCCAGACUCCUACGGGAGGCAGCGGUAGGGAAUCUUCCACAAUGGGCGAAGGCCUGACGGAGCAACGCCGCGUGGGUGAUAAAGGUCUUCGGCUCUUAGAACUCUGUUGUUAGGAAGGAACAUAAGUGUGAGUAACUGUGCACCUCUUGACGGUACCUAAUCAGAAAGCCCCGGCUAACUACGUG